UCCCCAAGAAUUUGGGUGGUUGCAAAUCCAGGAUAAACCCCCAACUGAAAGACCCCCAGAAUGGGUAGACCCUCACUCAAGUCUUGGAAUAAGCCAAUGCCCCAAUAAUUCAAGAGAGACC
rnacentral:pre_miRNA from 11 species